GAUGAACGCUGGCGGCGUGCCUAAUACAUGCAAGUCGAGCGAACAGACGAGGAGCUUGCUCCUCUGACGUUAGCGGCGGACGGGUGAGUAACACGUGGAUAACCUACCUAUAAGACUGGGAUAACUUCGGGAAACCGGAGCUAAUACCGGAUAAUAUAUUGAACCGCAUGGUUCAAUAGUGAAAGACGGUUUUGCUGUCACUUAUAGAUGGAUCCGCGCCGCAUUAGCUAGUUGGUAAGGUAACGGCUUACCAAGGCAACGAUGCGUAGCCGACCUGAGGGGGUGAUCGGCCAAACUGGAACAGAGACACGGACCAGACACCUACGGGAGGCAGCAGUAGGGAAUCUUCCGCAAUGGGCGAAAGCCUGACGGAGCAACGCCGCGUGAGUGAUGAAGGACUUCGGAUCGUAAAACUCUGUUAUUAGGGAAGAACAAAUGUGUAAGUAACUAUGCACGUCUUGACGGUACCUAAUAAGAAAGCCACGGCUAACUACGUG
rnacentral:rRNA from 1 species